GUGCUUGCAUGGGCAGUACAUAUACUAAAUUGGAAUGAUACAGAGAAGAUUAGCAUGGCCCCAUGUGCAAGGAUGACAUGCAAAUUCAUGAUGCAUAACAGUUUUAC